rnacentral:rRNA from 1 species
GACGAACGCUGGCGGCGUGCCUAAUACAUGCAAGUAGGACGCAGUUGCGAACGGGUGAGUAACGCGUAGGUAACUACCUAUUAGAGGGGGAUAACUAUGGGAAACGAUAGCUAAUACCGCAUACUAGUAGAUGGACCUGAGUUGUAUUAGCUAGUAGGGAGGGUAAUGGCCUACCUAGGCAACGAUACAUAGGCGAGCCGAGGGGGUGGACGGGCAAACUGGGACCGAGACACGGGCCAAACCUCCAAGGGAGGCAGGAGGAGGGAAUCAUCGGAAAUGGGGGGAACCCUGAACGAGCAACUCCGGGGGAGUGGAGAAGGGUUUCGGAUCGGAAAGCUCUGUUGUUAAGGAAGCGGUACUCAACGAAGAAGGGACGGCUAACUACGUGCCAGCAGCCGCGGUAAUAC